GUAUGAAGUCAUGUAACUUACUUAUAUAUAUAUAAUAUAAGUGACGAAUCACUGCAACAGUUGUUGAUAAGGAAUUUGAAGAGCAGUCGUCUGUGUGAAAUAAGUGAAAAUGAGUGGAAAUGAAAAAUAUCCGCAUUUCAUCGCCGCUAAUGUUUACCAGAAACCUACUAAUUUACUACCUAAACUCCCACCUGGAAAACCCGCGGAUGGAAGGAAAACUAUCAAAAUUCCACAAAAUCAAGAAAUGAAAAAGUGCUAAGAAAUUUUUAGUUGCAUUACUUGUCUUAUGAACCGUAUUCAAAAUGUGGAUUUCUAUUUUGUUGGACCCGAUAUUAUAUCAAAAUCAUUACAUAACAUGUUAUUUUAAUAGACAUAUUAUUUUUUUUUAGAUAUACUACUACUGGCAUUGUGUCCAGGGACUUUUUCUAUCUCUGAAAUUAAAAAAAAAUAAAGAUACAUCAUAUUUGUUACAAUAAAAUAGUUCACGAAUGGUGUGUUACGCGUCUCGCGAAACACGAAUAGAGAUACAGAUAUUAGUACAGCUGCAUAUAAAAGAUUAGCUCACAAACACUAUUAAAUAAAAACACAAAUGAUUGUAGUUAACAGAUAUGGAAAAACUAAAUUCGUUUUAAAGGGCUACUUUGAAUAUUAAACAAAAAUGUUUCAAGGAGGUUUAUAUUGGACGUUUUAGUAUUUUUUGAAAACGUAUAAAUUGUCCGAGAACGCUUGCCGAUUGUCAAAUAUUUCUGUUAUCUUUAAAAAUAUUAAUAGACGAAAAUGGUUGAUAAUACUUUGAAUUCGUAAUAUUUCGUAUCGAAAUCAAAAGCUGUAUUUGUUAGUAAUAAUAUUUUAUGAUAAAUGCGUUUUUAUUUCAAUAAAAUCCGUUAAAAUUAUUAAAUUUAAUAACAAAUUCCUUAAGUUUAAGCCAAAGCUGUCAAGCGUUGUCAAACAGGACAAGCUAACCGCAGAUAAUAAUUUAUAUUUAUAAUUUAUCAAACUAGUUUCCGUUUUGGUGGGCGACGCUCGCGUCUCUUACGUUUCGAAAAUGGAUUCAUUUAUUAAAUUUAUAAAAGGUGUUUUGCCUCCGGCGGAGCCACGAACUCCUUGUUCGUUCGGGGAAGCCAGGGUGUACCAAAAACCCACAAAUCAGUUACCUCCCUCACGAGACAGCACGCCUCCAGGAACACCUAAAGGAUCGCCGAAGCCCAAAAAGAAGACCAAUGAAAAAGAAGAAGAGAAAGAUAAAUAAAUAUUAUUAACACUUUACAA